ACUAGCUCAGUCGGUAGAGCACUUGACUUUUAAUCAAGGUGUCGGGGGUUCGAAUCCCCC
rnacentral:tRNA from 2 species